GUCUGAAGACAUAGCUCAGUUGGUUAGAGCAUGGUGCUGAUAAUGCCAGAGUUGGAGGUUCGAUCCCCAUAUUGGACG